rnacentral:rRNA from 1 species
GACGAACGCUGGCGGCAGGCUUAACACAUGCAAGUCGAACGCCCCGCCAGGGGAGUGGCUGCCGGGUGAGUAACGCGUGGGAACAUACCCUUUUCUACGGAAUAGCUCUGGGAAACUGGAAUUAAUACCGUAUACGCCCUACGGGGGAAAGAUUUAUCGGGGAAGGAUUGGCCCGCGCUGGAUUAGCUGGUUGGUGGGGUAAAGGCCUACCAAGGCGACGAGCCAUAGCUGGUCUGAGAGGAUGAUCAGCCACAUUGGGACUGAGACACGGCCCAAACUCCUACGGGAGGCAGCAGUGGGGAAUAUUGGACAAUGGGCGCAAGCCUGAUCCAGCCAUGCCGCGUGAGUGAUGAAGGCCUUAGGGUUGUAAAGCUCUUUCACCGAUGAAGAUAAUGACGGUAGUCGGAGAAGAAGCCCCGGCUAACUUCGUG